GGAGCGGUGACCGAGUGGCCGAAGGUGCUCCCCUGCUAAGGGAGUAUGGGGUGUAGAGCCUCAUCGAGGGUUCGAAUCCCUCCCGCUCCG
rnacentral:tRNA from 1 species